rnacentral:lncRNA from 1 species
UGCACCCCAAGUCCCAGUCCAAAAUAAAGUAAAACAAUUAUUAUAACAAGUUACAAGCACGAGCUAAACUAAGUACAACCGAUUCUACCGCCAUUCACUUUGUCGUCAUUCGCAAGGGGCUACAACCUGAAACACGACAAAAAAAAGAAGCUUCGAUUCAAAGGUAAUCAUCCAAACAUUCCUAUUCAAAAGUAUUCAUGCAAUAUUUAUACACAAAUUUUGUGGCACCUAUAUUCUCUUAAAAAUCAUCCUCGAAUAUUCAUUACGACCAAUAAAGGGAACGUUUCAUGUUGAUAAACGUGCUGGAAAACCCUAAAAUAAGAUUCAAAACUUAACAAGUUGCUGGAAUUUUAUCAAGGAUGACCCUAAAUAAUAACAUUUCAAACAAAUGGGUAAUUUUUUUAAAAAGGUUCAGAUUACUAAACUCAUCGUAACAACAAAAUAGUCCAGAUUUUAUUUCAAGUGACCUAAUCAAACAAAUCGUGGAAUGGGCGCUUCCCAAAAGAAAUGCAUUCAUGGUUGAGGCAUUGAGGAUGAUUAGAAAUGGAGGGUUCAACCUUUUACCUUUCUCGUCCUUUGCUCCGGCGAGUCCGUCGUCGACGGAGACUUUUAUUUUUGUUUCCUGCUUCUGCCUCUCCGGCUUCGCCAUUCCCCAUUUUUAUUGAAAACAGAAACCAAUAUAAUGACAACAGAAAUUAGGGAAAGCAUAUAAAAAUCAGAAAACUCAGAUCGUAAAUCCACAGAUCGGGGUUUGCAGACAACAUGCAAACCCGAAUCGAAGUCAAAACAGAGAAAAAACUAAAGUAGAAAGAAGGGUUUUCAUGUUUUUACCAUUUCUUCCUUCUGUUUUUCUUUCUUUGUUCGUUGUGGGAGAAGAGAGGAGGCGGAGGCGGCGGAGCCCGUCGCCGUCGGCGAGACCAGAA